rnacentral:misc_RNA from 1 species
UUAAGUUCAGCGGGUAGCCCUACCUGAUUUGAGACCAGAGUUCAAGAAUUGUCCGAAGACGAUUAGAAGCGUACUUCUCAAGCCGACACCAGCGAAACUUAUUACGCCAGAUAGACAAGUUAAACACGCUAACUCUUUUAAGGCGAGCCAGGGGACUGGCAACACCCAAUUCCAAGCCAUUAAGAAACCCUAAUGGUUGA